UACGGGGGGGGCAAGCGUUGUUCGGAAUUACUGGGCGUAAAGGGCUCGUAGGCGGCCAACUAAGUCAGACGUGAAAUCCCUCGGCUUAACCGGGGAACUGCGUCUGAUACUGGAUGGCUUGAGUGUGGGAGAGGGAUGCGGAAUUCCAGGUGUAGCGGUGAAAUGCGUAGAUAUCUGGAGGAACACCGGUGGCGAAGGCGGCAUCCUGGACCAUUACUGACGCUGAUGAGCGAAAGCCAGGGGAGCAAACGGG
rnacentral:rRNA from 1 species